CUUUUUUCCUCCAAGAUAUCAUCAAAACCAACAAAGUAAACAUGAAAUAAACAAAGCAAACUCCUUUGUUAGUGAAACUGGAGGCAAAUAAAACCUACAGUCUCAAAAAACAAACAAAAGGAUAACAGCUGCCAAAAGCCAACAGAUGCAGACACUGGGAAGCUGAGGAGGAGCAAAGUGAUAUGGGGAAAUAAACAGGGCCACAGCUCAGCGGGAGGAGAGUGGAGCUGUUCAGCAGGUCUCAAGACGCCGGCAAAAUCACGGCUACUGUAGACAAAGGUCACCCCAAGGUUAUAAACCCGUAAGUCCACGUGCAACAAGAGCUGCAGGGUCAUGGAGGCCUGGGUGGAAACUGGCCGAAGACACGGCAGAUGAGCAGAGCAGACAAGGAGAGGAGAUGGAAUGGAGGCAGAUCUCAGAAAACGCUGGCAGCUACACUCCUGAAGAAACCUCCGGAAAAUUGCUAAGCCGAGAACAUUGUGUUUUAGCAUACAAAGACUAAAGGAAUAUUGUUCCCACAAGCCCUGCUUGAGGAAAUCACCAGGGAACAAAUGUAGUCAACCAAAAGAUGAUUGAGAAAACAACAGCAAAAGAGCUGACGACAUUCUCACCUACUCCUUGACCACCUGAAGGACUCCUUCUCAUCCUUGAAGACCUCACUCAAGUUUCUUUUCUUCUUUAAAGACUUCCUGAGUUCCCUCCUCUACCCCAAAAAAGUUAGUGGCCCCCAUAGCAAAUUUACUAAUUCCAUCAUUAUACCCCCAUUCUGUGUGGUAUUUAUUUCAUGCAUAUGUCAUCUGCUAAUCUGUGAAUUCUUCCCCUUUGAAGAGGGCCCAGUACAGGCCUGGGAGUUGGAAAUCAAUAAAUACAUGGUGGAUGACUGAAUAUUCUCUGUACACUUCUACAAGGGCUGACCCCUCUAACUAAACAUUAUGACAGAGGGUGUGUGUGUGUGUGUGUGUGUGUGUGUGUGUGUGUAUAUCUGGAACUGUGUAAAGAUAUGAGAAGGAAUGUCAUAUGUUUCUUAAAAAUAAAAAUGGUGUGAGCAGAA
rnacentral:lncRNA from 1 species